rnacentral:rRNA from 1 species
ACUUUUACAAUGAAGAGUUUGAUCCUGGCUCAGGAUGAACGCUAGCUACAGGCUUAACACAUGCAAGUCGAGGGGCAUCAGGAAGAAAGCUUGCUUUCUUUGCUGGCGACCGGCGCA